CAGACGUGUGGCAGCAGUGGGGAAUAUUGGACAAUGGGCGAAAGCCUGAUCCAGCCAUGCCGCGUGUGUGAAGAAGGCCUUCGGGUUGUAAAGCACUUUCAGUGGGGAAGAAAGCCUUGGGGCUAAUACCCUCGAGGAAGGACAUCACCCACAGAAGAAGCACCGGCUAACUCCGUGCCAGCAGCCGCGGUAAUACGGAGGGUGCGAGCGUUAAUCGGAAUUACUGGGCGUAAAGCGCGCGUAGGCGGUCUGAUAAGCCGGUUGUGAAAGCCCCGGGCUCAACCUGGGAACGGCAUCCGGAACUGUCAGGCUAGAGUGCAGGAGAGGAAGGUAGAAUUCCCGGUGUAGCGGUGAAAUGCGUAGAGAUCGGGAGGAAUACCAGUGGCGAAGGCGGCCUUCUGGACUGACACUGACGCUGAGGUGCGAAAGCGUGGGUAGCAAAUAGGAUUAGAUACCCGAGUAGUC
rnacentral:rRNA from 1 species